UACGUAGGGUGCAAGCGUUGUCCGGAAUUAUUGGGCGUAAAGAGCUCGUAGGCGGUUUGUCGCGUCUGCUGUGAAAACCCGAGGCUCAACCUCGGGCCUGCAGUGGGUACGGGCAGACUAGAGUGCGGUAGGGGAGAUUGGAAUUCCUGGUGUAGCGGUGGAAUGCGCAGAUAUCAGGAGGAACACCAAUGGCGAAGGCAGAUCUCUGGGCCGUGAACUGACGCUGAGGAGCGAAAGCAUGGGGAGCGAACAGG
rnacentral:rRNA from 1 species